GCUCUCGAGAACCGUAGUAAGGGUAGGCGUUGUGGAAGAAAGGGCGGAAAAACACAAAAUGCUUCCUCUGCGUUGCGGAAUAUUAUAAUCCAGCUGAUGGAUGUUAUCUGCUUUAAAUCUAGGGACAGAGGACUAUGGCAACUGGUGCCAUGAUGGUUGGAUUGGUAGUUGCACCAAUGGGCUGGAUCCUGAUGCUGGCUGCGACAGUCACGCCACAAUGGCGCGAGUUUGCCCAAAGACCCGGCUUCCCUCAAGAUGUCUCCUUCAGCGACGGACUCUGGGAGAGCUGUGUGGAGGUCACCAGUGUUCAUGGCAAGGAAUGCCGACCUGUCCCAGAAGAGUUGGCCAUCUCCUGGCCCAUUCAAAUGGUAAGGGCUCUGACUGUACUCUCGGUGCUUGCCGGCUUCCUGAGUUAUGUUCUGAGCCAUGUGGGGGCACGCUGGUGGUCGGAAAGGCCCAACAACCACCUUGCAGGAGUCUCGGGGCUCUUGCUUCUGCUCUCUGGAGUCUUGUACCUCUGUGCUACAUCCUAUAUGGCAUACAGAGCCUUGGCUGACAUCGGAAAUCCACAGACCCUAGCGGAGGACAAGUACCAUCUUGGCACAUGCCUCUACCUUGGG